UAGUCCUGGCCGUAAACGAUGGGCACUAGGCAAUGGGUUUACCUAUGAGAUUCAUUGCCGCAGCUAAUGUGUUAAGUGCCCCGCCUGGGGAGUACGCUCGCAAGGGUAAAACUCAAAGGAAUUGACGGGGGGAUCACACAAGCAGUGGAGCAUGUUGUUUAAUUCGAAGCAACGCGAAGAACCUUACCAGGCCUUGACAUGCAUGGAUUAGCUCCCUGAAAGGGGAGUGACGCCUCUUCGGAGGUGGAACAUGUGCAGGUGUUGCAUGGCUGUCGUCAGCUCGUGCCGUGAGGUGUUGGGUUAAGUCCCGUAACGAGCGAAACCCUUAUUGUUAGUUGCCAGCGGGUUAUGCCGGGGACUCUAGCGAGACUGCCGUUGUCAAAACGGGAGGAAGGUGGGGACGACAUCAAGUCAUC
rnacentral:rRNA from 1 species